rnacentral:rRNA from 1 species
AUUGAACGCUGGCGGCAGGCCUAACACAUGCAAGUCGAGCGGAGCGGCGGACGGGUGGGUAAUGCCUAGGAAUCUGCCUGGUACUGGUUGAUAACGUCCGGAAACGGGCGCUAAUACCGCAUACUAUCAGUUGAGCCUAGUUCGGAUGAGCUAGUGGGGGGGGUAAAGGCCUACCAAGCCGACGAUCCGUAACUCGUCUUAGCGGAUGGUCAGUCACACUGGAAAUGAGACAAGGUGCAGACUCCGAAGGGAGGCAGCAGUGGGGAAAAUUGGAGAAGGGGCGAAAGCCGGAGAAAGCCAAGCCGGGUGUGUGAAGUAGGUCUUCGGAUUGUAAAGCACGUUAAGUUGGGAGGCGUUAGGAACAGAAUAAGCACCGGCUAACUUCGUGCCAGCAGCCGCGGUAAUAC